UGAGUGCUGACAACAGGGCAGGAGCAAGCCAGGCCUGGGGAGAGGGGCUGUGGGAGUGGCGGCCCCGUGUGCCUGGCUCCUGGACAUCAGAGACUGAUGAGAGGACAGAAGGCCAGCAUUGCCCUGGGGUCAGUACUAACAGGUCUGGAAUUGGAGACCUGGGCCAGCCACCGCUGUCUUCACCUUCUCCCCGCCUGCCAUUGGGCCGCGGGCCCAGCCUAGAUAGCAUUUCUGUGCGAAGUGCACUGUGCACAGAAGAUGCCUGGGCCGUGGUCAGGAUUGCUCAGGAACCACUGUGCGGCUGGUCCCUCCCCCAAGGCCACAAGCUUGUCAUCUUCCCAGAGAAAAAUGAUUCAUAGCACCCCACAGGCUUCCUUUAAAGAAGAAACCUAUAUUUGGAGCUUCUGUCCUGCGUGGGGCUCCUCCACCGUCACCAUGGAGCAGAUGAGCACAGUGAAUUCCAGGGUCUGCUUCACGGAUCAGCUCAACUUGAACACACGCACAUGCUGCCCUCAGACGGGGGAGCCCAGGCGUGUGCUGUCUCCUGUCUGUCUGCUCCCCAGACAGCCCGGGACGGAGGGUACCCUGCGCAGACUGGAGGCAGGGGCUGCCCCACCAGGAGGAGCAAGGGCUGAAACACCACAGCUGACCCUUGUGGAGACUUCCAAUGUGCACGGCUCGUGGAUCAUCUCAUUUAAAUCCUGUAACAACCCCAGGCAGUUGGUGUAAUUAUUAACCCCGUUGUGCAAAUAAAAAUGGAAAUCAGACAGAU